rnacentral:lncRNA from 1 species
UAGAACAUAAGAUGUUCUGAAGUCUAGUAAACAUCAACGGGCUCUCACUACACGUUGAGAGAUUCACAAAAGCUCUAGUUAACAGGAGAAAACAGCAGCUAAUGUGUCUUGGGGAAAAUAUACGUCUUCCUGAAAAUUGCGGAUUUCUACUUCACCUGAAAAGAAAUACAUACGAAAAAGGAAAAACACGAACAAAACAAAACAAGCCAACGAACACGGGCCAAUGCACCGUCCCUGGAAAUCUUAAGUGAGCAAAGUAUUAGUUUUCAGAAACCGUUUCUAUUUUGGGCAAAUGCUAAGAAGGCCCAGAUUAGAGCUGUGACGCCCUUCCCAUUGUGAAACUAUGUUGGCCGGAGGGAGGAGAAACUAAAACAUCAUGAUAAAAGGUGAUUGAGACCCAGCCAGAGUGAAGCUUUCCUAGGGAGGGAGGCCUGAGGAGGGAAGCGGGGGAAGAAACCCACAACUGCAGACCCGCCCGCUUGCCCACGCGGGUCAAGGGCUAUGCCAUCGGCCCAAGCUGCCUCUGGGGAAGUGGGACCGUGCCACCCCCAUCUUCAAAAACGGUGACCACUGAAGAUGCUCAUUUCAACAACCAGA